GCUGGGUGCUGUGACGCAUGCCUGUAAUCCCAGCAGCUCAGGAGGCUGAGACAGGAGGAUGCGGGUUCAAAGCCAGGUUCAGCAAUGCCAAGGCACUAAGCAGCUCAGUGAGACCCUGUCUCUA
rnacentral:sRNA from 1 species